rnacentral:rRNA from 1 species
GGUAAGGUUAAGGACUUAAGGUCCGGAGCCGAAGCGAAAGCGAGUGUUAAGAGCACGAAGAAUCACGUAUCAUAGACCCGAAACCGGGUGAUCUAUCCAUGUCCAGGAUGAAGCUGCCGUAAGAGGUAGUGGAGGUCCGAACACACAUCCGUUGAAAAGGGUGGUGAUGAGGUGUGGAUAGGGGAGAAAUUCCAAUCGAACCCGGAGAUAGCUGGUUCUCCUCGAAAUAGCUUUAGGGCUAGCCUUCAGUUAGUCUGCCGCAGGUAGAGCACUGAAUUUCCUAGGGGGCGUCAAAGCCUACCGAAGAAUAUCAAACUGCGAAUGGCGGACAGAUGAUGCUGGGGAGUCAGACUGCACGAGAUAAGUUGGGUGGUCAAAAGGGAAAGAGCCCAGACCUACAGCUAAGGUCCCAAAGUGCGUGUUAAGUGGAAAAGGAUGUGGGAUUUCGAAGACAACUAGGAUGUUGGCUCAGAAGCAGCCAUACAUUAAAAGAGUGCGUAAUAGCUCACUAGUCGAGAGGUCCUGCGCCGAAAAUGUCCGGGGCUGAAACACGACACCGAAGCUUAGGAAUGUAAUACAUUGGUAGAGGAGCAUUGUUAGCGGAACGAAGCCAUACCGGAAGGAGUGGUGGACUGCUAAGAAGAGAGAAUGCCGGAAUGAGUAGCGAGAAUGAAGUGAGAAUCUUCAUGGCCGAAUAUCUAAGGUUUCCAGGGUAAAGCUGAUCUGCCCUGGGUAAGUCGGGGCCUAAGGCGAGGUCGAAAGACGUAGCCGAUGGACAACAGGUUGAAAUUCCUGUACUGCGAUAUAUCAGAAAUGUGGGGACACAGAAGGAAAGUGUGAGCCGGGAAAGGAAAGACCGGUGCAAGCACAGGAGGAGAGAUGCAGGCAAAUCCGCAUCCCAAUCCAAAGGUGUGACGCGGAGCGAACAAAAGUAGCGAAGCACAUGGACCAUCUGUCGAGAAAAGCCGCUAUUGUGUAUAUUGUACCCGUACCGUAAACCGACACAGGUGGAUGAGGAGAGAAUCCUAAGGCCGGCGGGAGAAGCAUUGUUAAGGAACUCGGCAAAAUGACCCCGUAACUUCGGGAGAAGGGGUGCUCACGCAAGUGAGCCGCAGAGAACUGGCCCAAGCAACUGUUUAGCAAAAACACAGGUCUAUGCAAAACCGAAAGGUGAGGUAUAUGGGCUGACGCCUGCCCGGUGCUGGAAGGUUAAGAGGAGAUGUUAGAGCAAUCGAAGCAUUGAAUUUAAGCCCCAGUAAACGGCGGCCGUAACUAUAACGGUCCUAAGGUAGCGAAAUUCCUUGUCGGGUAAGUUCCGACCCGCACGAAAGGCGUAAUGAUUUGGGCACUGUCUCGACAAUGCACCCGGUGAAAUUGAAAUACCAGUGAAGAUGCUGGUUACCUGCGCCAGGACGGAAAGACCCCAUGGAGCUUUACUCUAGCUUGAUACUGGGAUUCGGUAUUGCAUGUACAGGAUAGGUGGGAG